rnacentral:rRNA from 1 species
GACAGAGGUGCCGAGCGUUAGGCGGAAUCACUGGGCUUAAAGCGUGUGUAGGCGGACGCCUAAGUACCUUGUGAAAUCCCACGGCUCAACCGUGGAACGGCUGGGUAGACUGGGCGUCUUGAGCCACCUAAGGGCAGACGGAACAAGCGGUGGAGCGGUGAAAUGCGUAGAUAUCAUUUGGAACGCCAAUGGUGAAAACAGGUAGCUGGGAGUGUGCUGACGCUGAGACACGAAAGCCAGGGGAGCGAACGGG